GACGAACGCUGGCGGCGUGCUUAACACAUGCAAGUCGAACGGAAAGGCCCCUUCGGGGGUGCUCGAGUGGCGAACGGGUGAGUAACACGUGGGUGAUCUGCCCUGCACUUUGGGAUAAGCCUGGGAAACUGGGUCUAAUACCGGAUAGGACUCCGAGAUGCAUGUCUUGGGGUGGAAAGCUUUUGCGGUGUGGGAUGGGCCCGCGGCCUAUCAGCUGGUUGGUGGGGGGAUGGCCUACCAAGGCGACGACGGGUAGCCGGCCUGAGAGGGUGUCCGGCCACACUGGGACUGAGAUACGGCCCAGACUCCGACGGGAGGCAGCAGUGAGGAAUAUUGCACAAUGGGCGCAAGCCUGAUGCAGCGACGCCGCGUGAGGGAUGACGGCCUUCGGGUUGUAAACCUCUUUCACUAGGGACGAAGCGCAAGUGACGGUACCUAGAGAAGAAGCACCGGCCAACUACGUGCCAGCCGCCGCAGUAACAC
rnacentral:rRNA from 1 species